UGGGGAAUAUUGCACAAUGGGGGAAACCCUGAUGCAGCGACGCCGCGUGGAGGAAGAAGGUCUUCGGAUUGUAAACUCCUGUUGUUGAGGAAGAUAAUGACGGUACUCAACAAGGAAGUGACGGCUAACUACGUGCCAGCAGCCGCGGUAAAACGUAGGUCACAAGCGUUGUCCGGAAUUACUGGGUGUAAAGGGAGCGCAGGCGGGAAGACAAGUUGGAAGUGAAAUCCAUGGGCUCAACCCAUGAACUGCUUUCAAAACUGUUUUUCUUGAGUAGUGCAGAGGUAGGCGGAAUUCCCGGUGUAGCGGUGGAAUGCGUAGAUAUCGGGAGGAACACCAGUGGCGAAGGCGGCCUACUGGGCACCAACUGACGCUGAGGCUCGAAAGUGUGGGUAGCAAACAGGAUUAGAUACCCUGGUAGUCCACACCGUAAACGAUGAUUACUAGGUGUUGGAGGAUUGACCCCUUCAGUGCCGCAGUUAACACAAUAAGUAAUCCACCUGGGGAGUACGACCGCAAGGUUGAAACUCAAAGGAAUUGACGGGGGCCCGCACAAGCAGUGGAGUAUGUGGUUUAAUUCGACGCAACGCGAAGAACCUUACCAAGUCUUGACAUCCUGCGACGGAUAUAGAAAUAUGUCUUUCCUUCGGGACGCAGAGACAGGUGGUGCAUGGUUGUCGUCAGCUCGUGUCGUGAGAUGUUGGGUUAAGUCCCGCAACGAGCGCAACCCUUAUGGUCAGUUACUACGCAAGAGGACUCUGGCCAGACUGCCGUUGACAAAACGGAGGAAGGUGGGGAUGACGUCAAAUCAUCAUGCCCUUUAUGACCUGGGCUACACACGUACUACAAUGGCGUUAAACAAAGAGAAGCAAGACCGCGAGGUGGAGCAAAACUCAAAAAUAACGUCUCAGUUCAGAUUGCAGGCUGCAACUCGCCUGCAUGAAGUCGGAAUUGCUAGUAAUCGCGGAUCAGCAUGCCGCGGUGAAUACGUUCCC
rnacentral:rRNA from 1 species